rnacentral:ncRNA from 23 species
UAAUAUUUUAUAUUUUUAGGUUUGAUUUUAAUUAAAAGGGAAAGUGGUUAAAGUCCACUACAGCCCCCGCUACUGUGAUAGGAUACAAGUUUCUAUUUGACCACUGAUUAUAUAAAUUGGGAAGGGAGAAAUGAGGAUAAGCCUUAAGUCAGGAUACCUGCCUAAAGAUCAUGAACUAAG